rnacentral:rRNA from 1 species
UACGUAGGUGACAAGCGUUGUCCGGAUUUACUGGGCGUAAAGAGCGCGCAGGCGGUCGAUCAAGUCGAGUGUGAAAGCCCCCGGCUCAACUGGGGAGGGUCAUUCGAUACUGAUCGACUCGAAGGCAGGAGAGGGUAGUGGAAUUCCCGGUGUAGUGGUGAAAUGCGUAGAGAUCAUGAGGAAGACCAGUGGCGAAGGCGGGUCUCUGGACAGUUCCUGACACUGAGGAGCGAAAGCCAGGGGAGCAAACGGG